AUUAAACGCUGGCGGCAUGCCUUACACAUGCAAGUCGAACGGCAGCACGGGGGCAACCCUGGUGGCGAGUGGCGAACGGGUGAGUAAAGCAUCGGAACGUGCCCUGGAGUGGGGGGAUAACGUAGCGAAAGUUACGCUAAUACCGCAUAUUCUGUGAGCAGGAAAGCAGGGGAUCGCAAGACCUUGCGCUCUGGGAGCGGCCGAUGUCGGAUUAGCUAGUUGGUGGGGUAAAGGCUCACCAAGGCGACGAUCCGUAGCUGGUCUGAGAGGACGACCAGCCACACUGGAACUGAGACACGGUCCAGACUCCUACGGGAGGCAGCAGUGGGGAAUUUUGGACAAUGGGCGCAAGCCUGAUCCAGCCAUUCCGCGUGAGUGAAGAAGGCCUCGGGUUGUAAAGGACUCUUUCGUCAAGGAAAGGAAAACUUAAUACUCCUAAUACGAGGUGAGGUUGACGGUACCGUU
rnacentral:rRNA from 1 species